AUGUGCGAGACAUCCUUGAUGAUUUUACGUUCUCGCGUGAGGCUGAUGCUCGCUGGCAUUUAUUUUCCAACACCUGGCCGAGUGGAAACGCGCCUUUUCACGUUGUCACCGGCUGUGCUGCACCGGGACGCUCCGGGGACUCGCACUGAGUCUGAUAUAAUGUGCUCCCCGCGCUUGUGGAAAGCGGCUCCGCGCAGUUUUAUGUCGCCUGUGGCCCUCAUCACAUCACCGUCCUCCCUGCCCGGAGAGAGCAGCUGUUUAUCCAAAAAGGGAAAAAAAAGAAUCACAUCUGACACCAAGUCAUGACCGAGGCAGAAAAGUGGAGCGGAGGCGCAGAUGCUUGCAGAGGGGGGAGGGGGGGGGCACAUGCAGGACUUCAGGGUAAAUAUAAAGAGACAAGAGAUUGUUCUUAUUGUGGAUCAUCGGCCGACUGGCGCCGAGCGGCUCUUUAACAAAACCGAGGCCGAGUUAAUCAGGAGAGCUGCGUUCUUCUGAAGGCAGCAGAGCGAAGUGCAUGGGGAGGCCGGUGGGGGUGGGGACCGUGGGGGCCGUGGCUCCCGGAGCCCCGCACUGUCCUUGGUUUGACAAAAUACAACCUGUCGGAGAUUACACGCAAGCGCGGCCUGCCCUCAGCCCUGAGACUGAGCACUAAAUCAUCUCAUCGCUGCAACUGUUUGAUGUGGAAACACACAAAAUCAGCACGCAGCAGCACGAAUAACGCCCCAGUAAUAAUAAUCAUCAUUUACAAAUAAAAAUCUAAAUAUGCCAGAGAGGCUGCAGGGAAUGCAACUUUAUUUGGAAGAAGGAAGAGUUUAGUGAGCACUCACCGCUUUGCUUCUCUCUGAUUUUUCUCUCAAAAAUUCAUUCAUCACCCUUCAUCUGGUUUCCUCUUUUUUUUCCUCCACGCAGCAUCUGGGUUUGUCUUUUCCAGCCUCGUCUCUUUAUUGCGCCGCUGCGGCUGCUGCUGCCUCCCCGUCAGCCCGAUCAGGAAAACCAACAGAUAAAUGGCUCUCGCCUGGGGAAGCCCGGGCUGUAUGAGGCUGGAGUCAGUGCGCGCACACAGCUAACAUAGCCUGGGCUAGUAGUGUGUGGGGCAAAUCCAGCCUAAGCGUCAAAACAGCCGAUAACAUGGAAUAAUUACAAGUCUGUUAUUAUAGAGAGCGACCGAGAGCUGCAGCUCUUUGAAAUAAAUCUCUCCGGAAUGCAGAGCGUGAGCUGCGAGUCGUGGGUUUACUGUUGGGAGUUGCUCUGUGGCAAACGUUGGAGAGCUGUUCCUCUGUACUAAGGUGAGUAUUGAGACAGUGAGUCUGUGGACAGGUUGCUUUCUCCGGAGGCGACAUUGUAAAAACGCAAGCCGAGAGAGGUGAUGCCUCCACCGGCCAAGAACUGAGGGCUGACCCGGUGCUUGGCUUGGAAAUGGGGGUGGGAUUUCCCGAUCUUUCCUGUCAUUGGUUAAUAUUUUAUUCUGUUGACAUGUUUUCUUACUGCUAAUGCUUCCGACACCUUCUUGUC
rnacentral:lncRNA from 15 species